UUGGAGGGCAAGUCUGGUGCCAGCAGCCGCGGUAAUUCCAGCUCCAAUAGCGUAUAUUAAAGUUGUUGCAGUUAAAAAGCUCGUAGUUGAAUUUCGGGGUUAGUAGAUUGGUCAUGCCAUCGGUAUGCACUGGUCUCACUGAUUCCUCCUUCCUGAUGAGCCGUAAUGCCAUUAAUUUGGUGUUGCGGGGAAUUUGGACUGUUACUUUGAAAAAAUUAGAGUGUUUAAAGCAAGCUAACGCUUGAAUACAUUAGCAUGGAAUAAUGAAAUAGGACGUUCGAUCCUAUUUUGUUGGUUUCUAGGAUUGACGUAAUGAUUAAUAGGGAUAGUUGGGGGCAUUAGUAUUCAAUUGUCAGAGGUGAAAUUCUUGGAUUUAUUGAAGACUAACUACUGCGAAAGCAUUUGCCAAGGAUGUUUUCAUUAAUCAAGAACGAAAGUUAGGGGAUCGAAGACGAUCAGAUACCGUCGUAGUCUUAACUAUAAACUAUGCCGACUAGGGAUCGGAUGAUGUUAAUUUUUUAAUGACUCAUUCGGCGCCUUACGGGAAAC
rnacentral:rRNA from 1 species